CCUACGGGGGGCUGCAGUGGGGAAUAUUGCACAAUGGGCGCAAGCCUGAUGCAGCCAUGCCGCGUGUGUGAAGAAGGCCUUCGGGUUGUAAAGCACUUUCAGCGGGGAGGAAGGCGGUGAGGUUAAUAACCUCAUCGAUUGACGUUACCCGCAGAAGAAGCACCGGCUAACUCCGUGCCAGCAGCCGCGGUAAUACGGAGGGUGCAAGCGUUAAUCGGAAUUACUGGGCGUAAAGCGCACGCAAGCGGUCUGUCAAGUCGGAUGUGAAAUCCCCGGGCUCAACCUGGGAACUGCAUUCGAAACUGGCAGGCUAGAGUCUUGUAGAGGGGGGUAGAAUUCCAGGUGUAGCGGUGAAAUGCGUAGAGAUCUGGAGGAAUACCGGUGGCGAAGGCGGCCCCCUGGACAAAGACUGACGCUCAGGUGCGAAAGCGUGGGGAGCAAACAGGAUUAGAUACCCCGGUAGUC
rnacentral:rRNA from 1 species